UAGGGAAUCUUCGGCAAUGGGGGCAACCCUGACCGAGCAACGCCGCGUGAGUGAAGAAGGUUUUCGGAUCGUAAAGCUCUGUUGUAAGAGAAGAACGUGUGUGAGAGUGGAAAGUUCACACAGUGACGGUAACUUACCAGAAAGGGACGGCUAACUACGUGCCAGCAGCCGCGGUAAUACGUAGGUCCCGAGCGUUGUCCGGAUUUAUUGGGCGUAAAGCGAGCGCAGGCGGUUUAAUAAGUCUGAAGUUAAAGGCAGUGGCUUAACCAUUGUUCGCUUUGGGAACUGUUAAACUUGAGUGCAGAAGGGGAGGGUGGAAUUCCAUGUGUAGCGGUGAAAUGCGUAGAUAUAUGGAGGAACACCGGUGGCGAAAGCGGCUCUCUGGUCUGUAACUGACGCUGAGGCUCGAAAGCGUGGGGAGCAAACAGG
rnacentral:rRNA from 1 species